CGGGGCGUGGCGCAGUCCGGUAGCGCACCGCGUUUGGGACGCGGGGGCCGCCAGUUCAAGUCUGGCCGCCCCGA
rnacentral:tRNA from 1 species